UACAGAGGGUGCUAGCGUUGUUCGGAAUUAUUGGGCGUAAAGCGCGUGUAGGCGGCCUGGCAAGUUGGGUGUGAAAGCCCUCAGCUUAACCGAGGAAGUGCGCCCAAAACUACUAGGCUUGAGUACCGGAGAGGAUAGUGGAAUUCCCGGUGUAGAGGUGAAAUUCGUAGAUAUCGGGAGGAACACCAGUGGCGAAGGCGGCUAUCUGGACGAGUACUGACGCUGAGACGCGAAAGCGUGGGGAGCAAACAGG
rnacentral:rRNA from 1 species